rnacentral:rRNA from 1 species
UACGUAGGGAGCAAGCGUUGUUCGGAUUUACUGGGCGUAAAGGGCGCGUAGGCGGCCAGCACAAGUCAGUUGUGAAAUCUCCGAGCUUAACUCGGAAAGGUCAACUGAUACUGUGCGGCUAGAGUGCGGAAGGGGCAACUGGAAUUCUUGGUGUAGCGGUGAAAUGCGUAGAUAUCAAGAGGAACACCUGCGGCGAAGGCGGGUUGCUGGGCCGACACUGACGCUGAGGCGCGAAAGCCAGGGGAGCGAACGGG